rnacentral:rRNA from 1 species
CUACGGGAGGCAGCAGGGGGGAAUUUUGUGCAAUGGGGGAAACCCUGACACAGCGACACCGCGUGGAUGAAGAAGCCCUUUGGGGUGUAAAAUCCUGUCGGCUGGAACGAAACAAAUGACGGUACCAGCAGAGGAAGCAUCGGCUAACUACGUGCCAGCAGCCGCGGUAAGACGUAGGAUGCAAGCGUUGUCCGGAUUUAUGGGGCGUAAAGAGUUCGUAGGCGGUUUGUUAAGUCUGAUGUUAAAGAUCGGGGCCCAACCCUGGGAGUGCAUUGGAUACUGGCAGACUGGAGUGUGGUAGAGGUUAGUGGAAUUCCCAGUGUAGCGGUGAAAUGCGUAGAUAUUGGGAAGAACACCAGUGGCGUAGGCGACUAACUGGGCCAUAACUGACGCUGAGGAACGAAAGCCAGGGGAGCGAAUGGGACUAGAUACCCCAGUAGUCCUGGCCGUAAACGAUGGAUACUAGGCGUAGUGGGUAUCGACCCCUACUGUGCCGUAGCUAACGCGAUAAGUAUCCCGCCUGAGUAGUACAGCCGCAAGGUUGAAACUCAAAUGAAUUGACGG